CCACCAAUCUCUAUUGGAAAAAACAGCAAUUUGACCCUUGCCAAUUGUGGAAUACUUCAUUCAAAAUUUACGGAAACAAUGUCAAACUCAUCAAAGCUGUUUUGGUUUGCUCUUUCCCCUGUUGCAACAAUCACUAAUUCUGGUUUGGGCAAACAAUCCCACACGAGAUAUGACUAUACAAUCGAACUGGCCCAACCAUGCUGUUUCUCUCUUCGGUUGUGCAAAGUCCAGAUCUACAAUUCAGUCGCUGAAUGAGUCUUGAAGAUCUAAAAAGGCAAUUUCUCUCCUUAAGUUUGUUCAGAAACAGUUUUGGGCGUACUGCUGAGGGGUAAUAACUGAAUGUUUACCAGCCUAUUUCCUGUUUUCAAAUUGGGGGGACAGAAAAUGCAUCGUGGCCAUGGAAUUGUGGGUGUUUUUUGGAGCGCAUAGGAUGCAACUAUGCAUCCUUGAAAAUUCUCUGAAUGAAGAACUCAGUCCAUGGUCAAAUUCAAGAUGACAAGAUAAAUCUUAACAACUAUAGACUCAUAUUCAAACUGCCUCACCUGGAAAAGGGCCUGUAACCUCUUGUAAAUGACCAAUUGAAGUGAUAAUUAUGAUAUUUUGAAUUAUUUACGACUUUUGCGCGAAUUGAAAGCGUAUGAAAACAGGUGAAUGGAAACACACAGAGAUACAGAGUAGUCGCUCUCUCCGCAGCAAACUAAUAUAUUCAGCUCGUAGUUAGUUAGUUAGUUUAUUAGUUUGUUAGUAAGUUAGUGAUAGAUCAUAAAGCUAAAGCUAAGGCAAGACUAGUGCGUUUGUACAGUAACAAGGUAAUUCCAAGUGAUUCAGAAAAGACAAAUGCAUUAAAAACUAUGUUGCCUCAAAGGAACACCUAUGUAGGAUUUUAAUAAUUCAACUAAAUAAAAUCGAAUAGUGUGAGAUUUGAAUAAAAAUUCCAAUUGAAUAAAAUCCAGUGGCAAAUUAUUUUUAAAGCUCUGAUUUAUUAGAGCUGAAAGUUUGUUUAAGACUUGUGGCACAUACAAAUGGUAAUAACUGCACCUGAUAUUAUCUGAAAGAAUAAAUCAUGAUUUAAUGGGGACAGUUAGGUGCAGGGAGGUUGUGGUGGCCCAGUGUUGCCGUGACACUCUGUAUCAAGAUGAUAAACAAACAAUAAAAAUGUAGCUCUUUUGUUCCGUAAAGUUUGAAGCAGAGGACAUUCACUGAGCGGGGGAACAGCAGUCCAUUCAUACCACUCUGAUGCUCAUACAGUGGAUGAGUAACACACUGGCAUGAUGUCACUCUAGUGCCUGGUGCAUAGUGUCCACCACUCUCUCUGCAUCCUCCUGCUGGGUCCUUAAAAGAGAUUAUCCAGGGAGACGGAGAGCAGAGCAGACCGGCCUCCAUGUGCGAACCGCCAGAUAAGCUGAUCAGAGGUGCCAUCUCACUGACCGUACUCUACCUGGUUUACGGAUAUGGUGCCGCCCUCCUCUGCAACCUGAUUGGUUUUGUCUAUCCAGCAUAUUAUUCAGUCAAAGCCAUCGAAAGCGUAAACAAAGAAGACGACACAAAAUGGCUGACGUACUGGGUGGUCUAUGGUGUCUUCAGCCUUGGCGAGUUCUUCGCCGAUAUUUUCCUCUACUGGUUCCCUUUCUACUACGCUUUUAAGUGUCUCUUCCUGUUGUGGUGCAUGGCUCCGAUGUCGUGGAACGGCUCCCAGUUCAUCUACGACAAAAUGGUGCGGCCCGUCUUCUUCCGCCACGAGGCCACGGUGGACAACUUGGUGAGCGACCUCGGCAGCAGGGCCAUGAGCGCCGCUGAGAACCUCACCAGGGAAGUCCUCAUCAUGCUGAUGAGGAAUCAAAAUGGGGUGACUCCGGGGCCGUCGGCCGCUCAGCCCGAAAUCAAAAGUUUACCAGCUCCAUCUGUAGCGAAGGUUGCUCCAUCAGAGUCAAGUGAAGAACAACCAGUACGUAAACCAUAGCUGGUUCCCCCACCUCCCGACAGUUAGUGCACCUUAAAGGCCUCAUUUGCUUAAAAUCAGCUGUUUCCCUUUGCUUCCAGCUUUUAUGCUUAGCUAACCGUGCCAUCUGGCUCCAGCGCAGUAUCACCAGUGUGUCUGAUUCAUUUUGACCUUUGACAUUUCAAUCCCUCUGUGCCACUAGAGCACAGAGGGAGUAGAUAUACAGCAUCAUUCUGAUUUCAGGUGUGUUCUCAGAUUCUACGCUGCCAUUUCCUGUUGUUUAAAAGGAAAAAGCUUGUUCAUGUUGGUUUGGCAGAGAUGUUGAAUGCUUUUUCCAUCCAACACAAGAUUUCCAUCUUAAGAACUUUAGAACAGAUUGUGAUGAAAUGUCUUGAUCAAGAUCCUGAUCCCCAGGGUAAAAAUGUAAUGACCUGGUGUCCCCAAAGCUAACUCUCUUGCUAACUGUCAGAUAACGAGCUGGCUUAUUGUAUAGCUCUUAUAUGAUGUUUUUAAAACGUUUGUAAAGUGUCUUUGAGUAUUAUGAAAAGCGCUGUAGAUAAAAAAUAUAUUAUUAUUAUAGAUUAUAGAAACAGGCCAGCUGUUUUGUCCAACACUUUUAUAUUGUGGCUGUAUUAGCUACAUCUGGAGGGACUUUAGAGCCAGUCUUGACACUGUUAGUAUAAAUGCCGUGUUCAUUGGUUAUCGCAGUUGGAGUUUAUCGUUAAAUCAUGCUGGAUUUUAGAUCAUAGAAAAUGAACUGUUUCUACAUUGAGACUUGAGGUGAAGAGUAAAUGUGCUAACUGGGCUGUCCUGUUACUUGUUCCAGCCUUUCCUGGGUUAACCAGUAUGGACUUCAGAUAGCAGCAGUGGAAGAGGACCCUCAGUGAAGAAGAGGAGCUGCAUCCUCACCGAUCCAACUGAGAAGAAUAACAUAUGUCUGAGAGACUGAUUCUCUCUGUUUAUUUUUUACAUCAAAUAUGUUAUAUUUAUAUACAAGUUUGAAACAUCAACAACUCAGAUCGUCUCCUCAAAUUUUUAAUACGUAGCUUCUUAUCGCUGUUUUCAUUUGUAUUUAUCUAUUAUUUAUUGAUGAGUAAUGCAAAGAACCUGAAACUGGCUCAUAAGUCACAAACUCAUGAGAUCUCGUUCAGCAGUCCCUCGCCUGCCAACCUGCAAUACCUAUAAAGUAACAUCACUUUAGACCUGCAGGCAUGGACACUGCUGCUGAGACACCUGCAGACGGGAAGUGUUUUUUUCACCCUUGCCAUAGGUUUUAUUUUCAUCACCAUUUGAAAGUGUAGUUUCCUUUUCAUGGAGAGAUGGUGCACUUCAACAUCUGAAGGAGCUGCAGCUCUGCAUUCGGACACUUUCUUCUGGGCCUGUCUUUGGGUGCUUUGCAUCAGUGACACUGUGUGUCCUUUGUUCAUUAGUGUUUGUAUUAUUUAUACACAUAAAUGAGAUUUGGACUUUGAUCUGACAUUGACAUUAUGAUAAGAAAUAAAUGGAAUAAAACAAAAUGUUCACCCUC